rnacentral:rRNA from 1 species
UACGAAGGGGACUAGCGUUGUUCGGAAUCACUGGGCGUAAAGCGCACGUAGGCGGAUGUGUCAGUCAGGGGUGAAAUCCCGGGGCUCAACCUCGGAACUGCCUUUGAUACAGCACGUCUCGAGUCCGGAAGAGGUGGGUGGAAUUCCUAGUGUAGAGGUGAAAUUCGUAGAUAUUAGGAAGAACACCGGUGGCGAAGGCGGCCCACUGGUCCGGUACUGACGCUGAGGUGCGAAAGCUAGGGGAGCGAACGGGAUUGAGAAACCCC